GACGGAGGGGGCAAGCGUUGUCCGGACUCACUGGGCGUAAAGGGUGCGUAGGCGGCCAGAUAAGUCCGGUGUGAAAGUCACAGGCUCAACCUGUGAAUGCCGCUGGAAACUGUCUGGCUAGAGUCCGGAAGAGGAGAGUGGAAUUCCUGGUGUAGCGGUGAAAUGCGCAGAUAUCAGGAAGAACACCCGUGGCGAAGGCGGCUCUCUGGGACGGUACUGACGCUGAGACGCGAAAGCGUGGGGAGCGAACAGG
rnacentral:rRNA from 1 species